GGCAUGAGUCAGCCUAGUGUCAGAGUAAAAAGGGAGCAAGAUUUGAAUAUGGCCAGCACAGCCGUCAUGUUGAGAGCUAUCUGUGAAAGUUCAGUUGAGCGUAAGCACGGUUACUGCAGGUUGGACGCCGCUAGGAUGGCUAGAGGAGCAUGAAGGGAUUGACCAUGCAUCAAUCAGAAGAAGAAUGUUUUUGAGAUGUUGUUAUCAGAGUAGUACAAC
rnacentral:lncRNA from 1 species